CGAACGCUGGCGGCGUGCUUAACACAUGCAAGUCGAACGGAAAGGCCUUGUACUCGAGUGGCGAACGGGUGAGUAACACGUGGGUGAUUGCCCUGCACUUCGGGAUAAGCCUGGGAAACUGGGUCUAAUACCGGAUAGGACCUUGUUGGUGGAAAGUUUCGGUGUGGAUGAGCCGCGGCCUAUCAGCUUGUUGGUGGGGUAGGCCUACCAAGGCGCGACGGGUAGCCGGCCUGAGAGGGUGCGGCCACAUGGGACUGAGAUACGGCCCAGACUCCUACGGGAGGCAGCAGUGGGGAAUAUUGCACAAUGGGCGAACCUUUCCAGACGAAGUUUUUGACGGUAUGAAAGAAGCACCGGCAACUACGUGCCAGCAGCCGCGGUAAUACGUAGGGUGCGAGCGUGUCCGGAAU
rnacentral:rRNA from 1 species